rnacentral:rRNA from 1 species
AUUGAACGCUGGCGGCAGGCCUAACACAUGCAAGUCGAGCGAGCGGCGGACGGGUGAGUAAUGUAUGGGGACUGCCCGAUCGAGGGGGAUAACUACUGGAAACGGUAGCUAAUACCGCAUACUAUCCGAUUACCCAUAUGGGAUUUGCUAGUAGGUGGGGUAAUGGCUCACCUAGGCGGCGAUCGCUAGCUGGUCUGAGAGGAUGACCAGACACACUGGAACUGAGAAACGGGCCAGACUCCUACGGAGGCAGCAGUGGGGAAUAUUGCACAAUGGGCGCAAGCCUGAUGCAGCCAUGCCGAGUGUAUGAAGAAGGCCUUAGGGUGGUAAAGUACUUUCAGCGAGGAGGCGUUACCCGCAGAAGAAGCACCGGCUAACUCCGUGCCAGCAGCCGCGGUAAUUC